UUUUUGGUUAUUAUCUUGAAUAUUAUUAUAGAUAGAGAUAAACUGUAAACAGCAAUAAUGUUCAGCAAAGUAAGAUUUACAAAUAAGUCAACCUGACCCAAAUGGUCAGUUGACCCCUUUAGGAGUUAUUGCCCUUUAUAGUCAAUUUUUAACCAUUUUUCGUAAAUCUUAGUUAUCUUUUAGAAAAAUCUUCUCCUCUGAAACUACUGGGCCAAAUUAAACCAAACUUGGCCACAAUCAUCAUUGGGGUAUCUAGUUUAAAAAAUGUGUCCGGUGACCCGGCCAGUCAACCAAAAUGGCCGCCAUGGCUAAAAAUAGAACAUAGAGGUAAAAUGCAGUUUUUGGCUUAUAACUCAAAAACCAAAGCAUUUAGAGCAAAUCUGACAUGGGGUAAAAUUGUUCAUCAGGUCAAGAUCUAUCUGCCCUGAAAUUUUCAGAUGAAUCGGACAACCCGUUGUUGGGUUGC
rnacentral:lncRNA from 1 species